rnacentral:rRNA from 1 species
UUCCGGUUGAUCCUGCCGGAAGCCACUGCUAUCGGGGUCCGACUAAGCCAUGCGAGUCAAGGGGGUGUCCCUCUGGGACACCACCGGCGGACGGCUCAGUAACACGUCGGUAACCUACCCUCGGGAGGGGGAUAACCCCGGGAAACUGGGGCUAAUCCCCCAUAGGCCUGAGGUACUGGAAGGUCCUCAGGCCGAAAGGGGCUUUUGCCCGCCCGAGGAUGGGCCGGCGGCCGAUUAGGUAGUUGGUGGGGUAACGGCCCACCAAGCCGAAGAUCGGUACGGGCUGUGAGAGCAGGAGCCCGGAGAUGGACACUGAGACACGGGUCCAGGCCCUACGGGGCGCAGCAGGCGCGAAACCUCCGCAAUGCGGGAAACCGCGACGGGGGGACCCCGAGUGCCGUGGCACCGCCACGGCUUUUCCGGAGUGUAAAAAGCUCCGGGAAUAAGGGCUGGGCAAGGCCGGUGGCAGCCGCCGCGGUAAUACCGGCGGCCCGAGUGGUGGCCGCUAUUAUUGGGCCUAAAGCGUCCGUAGCCGGGCCCGUAAGUCCCUGGCGAAAUCCCACGGCUCAACCGUGGGGCUUGCUGGGGAUACUGCGGGCCUUGGGACCGGGAGAGGCGGGGGGUACCCCUGGGGUAGGGGUGAAAUCCUAUAAUCCCAGGGGGACCGCCAGUGGCGAAGGCGCCCCGCUGGAACGGGUCCGACGGUGAGGGGCGAAGGCCAGGGGAGCAAACCGGAAUAGAUACCCGGGUAGUCCU